GCUAAAGAAUCGGUCCACAAGAAACAAAAGUACCGUAACAAAAUAAUUGUGACUCUGUAUGACAUGCUGUCACAGUGUACAAUGAAUCAUGCAUUGUGGGGGAGGAUGCAACCUCUGUUGAGGCUCAUAUCAAGGUACUGCUUGAGCAAUACAGAAAGUUGCAGCCUGACAUGAAUCUGGUGAAAGACCGCAUGAUGAAAACCUUUGCAUGGAGACGCCGAGAAAUAGCAAAAGGAAUGUCAACUGAAGAUCUGUUGAGGAGAUAUCCAUUCCUAAGAACAUCCGCU
ensembl:lncRNA